rnacentral:rRNA from 1 species
UACGUAGGGGGCAAGCGUUGUCCGGAUUUAUUGGGCGUAAAGAGCGUGUAGGCGGUCUGAAAGGUCAGCUGUGAAAACUCGAGGCUCAACCUCGAGACGUCGGUUGAAACCGUCUGGCUAGAGUCCGGAAGAGGAGUGUGGAAUUCCCGGUGUAGCGGUGAAAUGCGCAGAUAUCGGGAGGAACACCAGAGGCGAAGGCGGCGACCUGGACAAGUACUGACACUCAGCUACGAAAGCGUGGGGAGCAAACAGG